GAUGAAGAACGUAGUGAAAUGCGAUAAGUAAUGUGAAUUGCAGAAUUCAGUGAAUCAUCGAAUCUUUGAACGCACAUUGCGCCCCCUGGCAUUCCGGGGGGCAUGCCUGUUCGAGCGUCAUUACAACCCUCAAGCUCUGCUUGGUAUUGGGCUCUGCCGGUCCCGGCAGGCCUUAAAAUCAGUGGCGGUGCCACUCGGCUUCAAGCGUAGUAAUUCUUCUCGCUUCGGAGACCCGGGUGCGUGCUAGCCAGCAACCCCCAACUUUCUCAGGUUGACCUCGGAUCAGGUAGGGAUACCCGCUGAACUUAAGCAUAUCAAUAAGCGGAGGA
rnacentral:misc_RNA from 1 species